GGGGGGACGAGGGUGACAGGUGGUGCAUGGUUGUCGUCAGCUCGUGUCGUGAGAUGUUGGGUUAAGUCCCGCAACGAGCGCAACCCUCGACCUUAGUUGCCAGCAUUCAGUUGGGCACUCUAAGGUGACUGCCGGCUAAAAGUCGGAGGAAGGUGGGGAUGACGUCAAAUCAUCAUGCCCCUUAUGACCUGGGCUACACACGUGCUACAAUGGGCGGUACAAAGGGUCGCGAACCCGCGAGGGGGAGCCAAUCCCAAAAAGCCGCUCUCAGUUCGGAUUGCAGGCUGCAACUCGCCUGCAUGAAGCCGGAAUCGCUAGUAAUCGCGGAUCAGCAUGCCGCGGUGAAUACGUUCCCGGGCCUU
rnacentral:rRNA from 1 species